UACGGAGGGAGCUAGCGUUGUUCGGAUCUACUGGGCGUAAAGCGCACGUAGGCGGCGCCGCAAGUCAGGGGUGAAAUCCCGGAGCUCAACUCCGGAACUGCCCUUGAAACUGCAGUGCUAGAAUCUUGGAGAGGCGAGUGGAAUUCCGAGUGUAGAGGUGAAAUUCGUAGAUAUUCGGAAGAACACCAGUGGCGAAGGCGACUCGCUGGACAAGUAUUGACGCUGAGGAGCGAAAGCGUGGGGAGCGAACAGG
rnacentral:rRNA from 1 species